GUUUUGGGCUUUGCAAAUAGGUUGUCUCUGGGAAUUUAUCCAUUUCUUCUAGGUUGUGCAAUUUGUUGGCGUAUAGUUUUUCAUGAUCUCCUCUUACAAUCCUUUGUAUUUCCGUGGUGUGUGUUAUUUCUUCUCUCUUGUUUGUGAUU